UACGUAGGGGGCAAGCGUUGUCCGGAUUCAUUGGGCGUAAAGAGCGUGUAGGCGGCCUGAAAGGUCAGCUGUGAAAACUCGAGGCUCAACCUCGAGACGUCGGUUGAAACCAUCUGGCUAGAGUCCGGAAGAGGAGUGUGGAAUUCCCGGUGUAGCGGUGAAAUGCGCAGAUAUCGGGAAGAACACCCGUGGCGAAGGCGGCACUCUGGGACGGUACUGACGCUGAGACGCGAAAGCGUGGGAGCGAACGAGG
rnacentral:rRNA from 1 species